rnacentral:rRNA from 1 species
UUAAGUUAGAAAGGGCGCACGGUGGAUGCCUUGACACUAGGAGUCGAUGAAGGACGGGACUAACGCCGAUAUGCUUCGGGGAGCUGUAAGUAAGCUUUGAUCCGAAGAUUUCCGAAUGGGGAAACCCACCAUACGUAAUGGUAUGGUAUCCUUAUCUGAAUACAUAGGGUAAGGAAGACAGACCCAGGGAACUGAAACAUCUAAGUACCUGGAGGAAGAGAAAGCAAAUGCGAUUUCCUGAGUAGCGGCGAGCGAAACGGAACAUAGCCCAAACCAAGAGGCUUGCCUCUUGGGGUUGUAGGACAUUCUAUACGGAGUUACAAAGGAACGAGGUAGACGAAGCGACCUGGAAAGGUCCGUCGUAGAGGGUAACAACCCCGUAGUCGAAACUUCGUUCUCUCUUGAAUGUAUCCUGAGUACGGCGGAACACGUGAAAUUCCGUCGGAAUCUGGGAGGACCAUCUCCCAAGGCUAAAUACUCCCUAGUGAUCGAUAGUGAACCAGUACCGUGAGGGAAAGGUGAAAAGCACCCCGGAAGGGGAGUGAAAGAGAUCCUGAAACCGUGUGCCUACAAAUAGUCAGAGCCCGUUAACGGGUGAUGGCGUGCCUUUUGUAGAAUGAACCGGCGAGUUACGAUCCCGUGCGAGGUUAAGCUGAAGAGGCGGAGCCGCAGCGAAAGCGAGUCUGAAUAGGGCGUUUAGUACGUGGUCGUAGACCCGAAACCAGGUGAUCUACCCAUGUCCAGGGUGAAGUUCAGGUAACACUGAAUGGAGGCCCGAACCCACGCACGUUGAAAAGUGCGGGGAUGAGGUGUGGGUAGCGGAGAAAUUCCAAUCGAACCUGGAGAUAGCUGGUUCUCCCCGAAAUAGCUUUAGGGCUAGCCUUAAGUGUAAGAGUCUUGGAGGUAGAGCACUGAUUGGACUAGGGGUCCUCAUCGGAUUACCGAAUUCAGUCAAACUCCGAAUGCCAAUGACUUAUCCUUAGGAGUCAGACUGCGAGUGAUAAGAUCCGUAGUCAAAAGGGAAACAGCCCAGACCGCCAGCUAAGGUCCCAAAGUGUGUAUUAAGUGGAAAAGGAUGUGGAGUUGCUUAGACAACUAGGAUGUUGGCUUAGAAGCAGCCACCAUUUAAAGAGUGCGUAAUAGCUCACUAGUCGAGUGACUCUGCGCCGAAAAUGUACCGGGGCUAAAUACACCACCGAAGCUGCGGAUUGAUACCAAUGGUAUCAGUGGUAGGGGAGCGUUCUAAGGACAGUGAAGUCAGACCGGAAGGACUGGUGGAGUGCUUAGAAGUGAGAAUGCCGGUAUGAGUAGCGAAAGACGGGUGAGAAUCCCGUCCACCGAAUGCCUAAGGUUUCCUGAGGAAGGCUCGUCCGCUCAGGGUUAGUCAGGACCUAAGCCGAGGCCGACAGGCGUAGGCGAUGGACAACAGGUUGAUAUUCCUGUACCACCUCUUUAUCGUUUGAGCAAUGGAGGGACGCAGAAGGAUAGAAGAAGCGUGCGAUUGGUUGUGCACGUCCAAGCAGUUAGGCUGAUAAGUAGGCAAAUCCGCUUAUCGUGAAGGCUGAGCUGUGAUGGGGAAGCUCCUUAUGGAGCGAAGUCUUUGAUUCCCCGCUGCCAAGAAAAGCUUCUAGCGAGAUAAAAGGUGCCUGUACCGCAAACCGACACAGGUAGGCGAGGAGAGAAUCCUAAGGUGUGCGAGAGAACUCUGGUUAAGGAACUCGGCAAAAUGACCCCGUAACUUCGGGAGAAGGGGUGCUUUCUUAACGGAAAGCCGCAGUGAAUAGGCCCAAGCGACUGUUUAGCAAAAACACAGCUCUCUGCGAAGCCGUAAGGCGAAGUAUAGGGGGUGACACCUGCCCGGUGCUGGAAGGUUAAGGAGAGGGGUUAGCGUAAGCGAAGCUCUGAACUGAAGCCCCAGUAAACGGCGGCCGUAACUAUAACGGUCCUAAGGUAGCGAAAUUCCUUGUCGGGUAAGUUCCGACCCGCACGAAAGGUGUAACGAUUUGGGCACUGUCUCAACCAGAGACUCGGUGAAAUUAUAGUACCUGUGAAGAUGCAGGUUACCCGCGACAGGACGGAAAGACCCCGUGGAGCUUUACUGUAGCCUGAUAUUGAAUUUUGGUACAGUUUGUACAGGAUAGGCGGGAGCCUUUGAAACCGGAGCGCUAGCUUCGGUGGAGGCGCUGGUGGGAUACCGCCCUGACUGUAUUGAAAUUCUAACCUACGGGUCUUAUCGACCCGGGAGACAGUGUCAGGUGGGCAGUUUGACUGGGGCGGUCGCCUCCUAAAGUGUAACGGAGGCGCCCAAAGGUUCCCUCAGAAUGGUUGGAAAUCAUUCGUAGAGUGCAAAGGCAUAAGGGAGCUUGACUGCGAGACCUACAAGUCGAGCAGGGACGAAAGUCGGGCUUAGUGAUCCGGUGGUUCCGCAUGGAAGGGCCAUCGCUCAACGGAUAAAAGCUACCCCGGGGAUAACAGGCUUAUCUCCCCCAAGAGUCCACAUCGACGGGGAGGUUUGGCACCUCGAUGUCGGCUCAUCGCAUCCUGGGGCUGUAGUCGGUCCCAAGGGUUGGGCUGUUCGCCCAUUAAAGCGGUACGCGAGCUGGGUUCAGAACGUCGUGAGACAGUUCGGUCCCUAUCCGUCGUGGGCGUAGGAAAUUUGAGAGGAGCUGUCCUUAGUACGAGAGGACCGGGAUGGACGCACCGCUGGUGUACCAGUUGUUCUGCCAAGGGCAUAGCUGGGUAGCUAUGUGCGGAAGGGAUAAGUGCUGAAAGCAUCUAAGCAUGAAGCCCCCCUCAAGAUGAGAUUUCCCAUAGCGUAAGCUAGUAAGAUCCCUGAAAGAUGAUCAGGUUGAUAGGUUCGAGGUGGAAGCAUGGUGACAUGUGGAGCUGACGAAUACUAAUAGAUCGAGGACUUAACCA